rnacentral:sRNA from 12 species
UGUAAUACCGAGGCACACACAGUGUCUGACUGGUCAACAAGGGAUACUGAUCUUAGUGAUUAAGCGUAAUGUAAGUACGUCAGUCUCUUGGAAAGUGGGGAAACCCACUUUUUUUAUGGAAA